UUGUAGAUUUUUGUUGUUUUGUGGAAGUUGACAAGUUGCUAAAAAAGCACUCAAAGUAGUAAGAUCCUCAGGAAAAAAAGGAACAACAUCAGACAUCAGACGGGGAGCAAGAAAUACCUGCAAUGACAGUAGGUAAAUUUUCAAAAAACCUGUUGCUCCCAACUCCAUUAAAAUGAUGGUUCCUCAUUGCAUUAACAUUUUCUGCCUUUUAAUCUGUAUCUACUAUUGGCCUGCUCUUUCCUGAAUGUCUACAUUUCCCUCCCAAUUAAACCAU